GUCCAGACUCCUACGGGAGGCAGCAGUGGGGAAUAUUGCACAAUGGGGGAAACCCUGAUGCAGCGACGCCGCGUGAGUGAAGAAGUCCUUCGUGAUGUAAAGCUCUAUCAGCAGGGAAGAAAAUGACGGUACCUGAGUAAGAAGCUCCGGCUAAAUACGUACCAGCAGCCGCGGUAAUACGUAUGGAGCAAGCGUUAUCCGGAUUUACUGGGUGUAAAGGGAGCGCAGGCGGCCUUGCAAGUCUGAUGUGAAAGGCCGGGGCCCAACCCCGGUACUGCAUUGGAAACUGCGAGGCUGGAGUGUCGGAGAGGCAGGCGGAAUUCCUGGUGUGGCGGUGAAAUGCGUAG
rnacentral:rRNA from 1 species